CACAUACAUACAUAUAUACAUACAUGUACAUAGACAAACAGACAGAAAACAAUCAUUAUGUACAAUGUUAUGUAUGAAUGAGGAAGUAAAACACUAUUAGUUAGAAUCAGAAACAAAGUUUUAAAUAUAAGUUUCAAUUUUUACUAACAUCACACCAGUCUAUUAUUAUUUUUUAUCACUUCAACCUUUUAUUACAGUUUUGUUGAUUCUCCCUCUCUUUCUCUCUGUAUAUAUAUAUAUAUAUAUAUAUAUAUAUAUAUAUUUAUGAUAGAUAGAUAGAUAGAUAGAUAGAUAGAUAAGAAGAUAUAUUACACAUGCUGUUUUUGAUUAAAGGUAAAUCCUAAAUGUUUUUCUUUUAAAUCAAGAAUUAUUCUUGCUGCACCUGUGCUCUCAUACAUACACGUGCAUCAUUCAUGUAUAACUAGAUAACUGGAUGCUGUAGUAAUGUAAGUAAAAUUAUUGGAAACAAAGAUUUCUAAUAAAUGCAAUAUUUUGAUGCAUGUAUUGCUUGCCAAUCUGUACUUUGCUAUCAAUUUGCAUAUAUGUUAAUGUUUGUGCGAGAGAGGGAGAGAGAGAGAGAGAGAGAGAGAGAGAGAGAGAGAGAGAGAGAGAUAACAGAAAAGAAGUUAGUGAACCUGAAGCUUUUACAGUUUUGUACAGACUUAUAAGAUGGAAAGCCAUCAGCCAUGAACUGUGUCUUUUAUAUAAAGUCUGUUGUGGCAAUAAUAAUGAUAGAUUUCAAAUAAGUUUAUUUCCUUAUUUUAUGUGAGUUACUUUUUUUUUUUUUUUGCUGUUUCAUUCUGUAUUUAUUUUUUUCAUUUUGCAAUGCAUGCUCAAAGGAAAGGUAAUGUCUUCCAUUGUCUGACAUUUCACAAUUAUCCACAGAUCUGAAUCGCUCUUAAUUUAUAUAAUCCUGCAAGUAUCAAAAUUUAAAAUUUUCAACUCCAAUAAUGUCUUGUAGUUUUUCAAACCACUUUUUUUUUUAUUACACUGCUCUCUUCUACUAAAACACAAAUAAAAGAGCAUGACUUUUUUAAAAUUCUUUUUCAAAGUGCAAGAGGAAGAAAAAAAAUGCUAGAAGUUGAGAAUUAAAUUUAAUAUACAUCAUACACAGAGCAGUAGAGGAGAUAGCUCAGACUAUAAAACACCAGAAUUAAUUUGUUACAUAAUUAUAUAAUUCCAUAUCUCAACUGUUCUGAGAUCAAAUAUCUCCAGGAUCCAGUUAGCGGUUAAUCUAGCUAGUCAAAAACAUUUAAUAAUAGUCUGAAUUAUUUCAACCAACAAUUACCCUCCCUUAUAAAAAUUGGCCUUGUGUCUUGGCAAAUAUACACUUUUUUGAUAUAUAUAUAUAUUUUUAUAUAUAUAUAUCUUUUUUUUAAAGUUUUUUUUUCUGGUUGCUUUUUAAAAAAUAUAACAUCUAUAUUAGGGUACAAGGAAAUAUAUCACAUAACCCCAAAUAACAAUCUCAAAGCAAUUUUUUUUUAGUCUUUUAAUUACUGAAUUAUCUCAGCAAAUUGGCAGAUUGAAAAGAAAAAAUGAGUGGAUGGCAGUUCACUAAACAAUAUACUGUCUAUACAAAUACAAAUCAUACCAACAAUAAAACAUAUCAGGUUAAACAAUACAGAGGUGAUAAAACUUCUGGCCAUUGAGAAUAGAUGGUGAUAACAGAUACCAAAAUUCUGGUAUGGUGUUUAGCAAGGAUGAAUGGAUGAUAUAUAAAAUGUAAUAUAUUAUACAAUAAACCCUCAAAUCAAUGGACUAAUUAGAGGGGAAGUAUGUCCAUUAAUACUGAAAGUUUGUUAAAGGGGCUAAUGUUACUGCUUUUAAUGUAAAAAAAAAAAUCUUUGAAACAAUGUAAAAUGUAAAAUUAUUAAAUCAUGUUAAAGAAUACAUAGUUUCUAUAUUCUUAUUUUGUCAAUGAAGUCUACUUUGCCAUGCUCAAAGUGGUAGUAUUGUUUUGUAUUAUCAUUAUUAUAAUUCAGUCUUUAAACCAGACAUUUAUAUCAAGGGUCUGUUAAACAAAGGGCUUACUGUUUAAGCAUUUGGGUGUACAAACAGAAAAGUCCUCAAUGUUGUAGAGUUUAUUCAUUUAUUCAGAGCUGAGAUUUCACUCCAGUGUUAUUUUUCCGGUUAUUAUUACUUCCCCACAAACCCUCAGUUUUGAAUAAUGAAUAUAUAUUCCAGGAAGCAACAAGUUCAAAGAAGCUUUGUCUGGCCACUUAGAAUAAAGUAUUCAAUGAGACUGCAGAGUGAAUAAAAUAUUUAAUAUAUAAACAUUAGUCUGACAAAAUAUAUUCUGUCAGGCAAAUGAUUAUGGAUUAAAUAUCUUAAAUAUAUAUAUGUGUAUACAUUUAAAUACACACAUGCAUGUGUUCAUAUUUUUUAAUCAAAAUUAAAUGUAUUAAUACAAAUAUUAUUGGCAUGAGAUACGCAAGAACCUGAUGUAACUAACCUCUCACUGACAUCAUAAUGUAAGGACUAUGAUACAUGUCCUCUAGGGUAUCGUUAUACCAGCACACACACAUUUUGAGAUUGUUUUGGGUCAUUGUGCACGUACAGUUUGUCUUACCUUAUGUUUUUUCUUGACUUCAUCUUGAUUAAACUGUGAAAUCUCAUCUCUUACUGAAUAAUGCUAACAGUGGUGACUUUGACCAUAAAUUGUUAUAAGGAACUCUAUCUGAAGCUUAGUUUGUGAUAUAUAAAUUUAGCACUUAAAUCUACUUUGUUGAACAAGGACUAGUAUUGAUUAUUUAAGCUCUUCUUUUUCUUCAGUAGGAUUUUGCCAUUUUAAGUUGUUUAUAUUUUAUUUGUAUUUUAAGUAAUGUAUUUUAAUGUUUCCAUUUACACAUUUAUAUUAUGAAUACAAAUAUUUUUGCAUAUUCCCAAACAGAAGUAGAUUAUAUUUUUUAAUCUGAUACCAUUGGUUGUAGUGAUCCUGCCUGAAGGUGUCAAAAUGAUGAGGAUAUCUGAAUGGCAGCUGAUAAAGGAAAUUCCCCAGUUAUGUAAAGUGUGCUUUUCAUUCAUUAAUGUCUUUGCUAAUUGUCACUAUAUGGAUUGUUUUACAUAUCUAAGAUAGUACUGGUCCUUACCUUUUAAUGUUCAUUGUUACAGUUUCUCCUGACCCUUGUAUAACAGAUUUGAACACACACACACACGUGUAAGCGAAAUACAGAGCACUAUAGCUCAGGCUAAUUUUAAUUAUAAAAUAAGUAGUAAAAUAUUAAUGAGUUGAAGGAAAUGUUUACAAAUUGUAAUGGAAGAAUACGUUGAAGAACAUCAGUUGAAAAGAUUAGAAAUGGUUCUGGCAGAAAAUGUGAAGUGAUUGAAAAAAACAAAAAAAAGUAAAGACAAUAUGUGACUAAGACAGAAAUCUUUUAAGUAAAAUGCAAGCUAUAAUACACACAUCUGAAUUUCUUUUCACAAUUGAAAAGAAUGAGAAUUAUGUAUUUUCUAUAUCUCUUAUAAUGAGGACAGAUGAAAAUCUACCUAGUGCAUCAGUGCAAACAACCUCUUUCAUCUUUUUAAUAAAUCCUCAACAAAUAAUCUUAGAUUUAGGAAGAUUUAUUUUAUUUAUGUGAAACCUUUAAAUCUUAUAUAUGUGGAAUAUAUAAGUCUAUACAUACAUGUAAAUCAUGAAUAUAUACCUAUGUAUGUAUUAAUCUUAUAUAUUAUGUGGUAUGUAUAAAUCUAUAUAUACAUGUAAAUCAUAAAUAUACAUAUUGUAUGUAUCAAUUUUAUAUAUUACGUGUUAUGUAUAAAUCUAUACUACAUGUAAAUCAUAUAUAUAUAUAGAUAGAUAGAUAGGUAGGUAGAUAGAUAGGUAGGUAGAUAGAUAGGUAGGUAGAUAGAUAGAUAGGUAGAUACACCAUUUUACAAAUGAUUACUACUUAAAUUUUAAAAAGUGAGAAUGUAGACUGUCUGUUAAGUUAGAUAAAUUCAAAGGAAAUAACUUAAUAGAAAAAUCACUUCUAUUUCCUUAAACUUCAGCAACAAAACUUUAUAGUUCUUAUGAAAAACACACAAUUAUUAGCUUAUAUUCAUUAAAUGACCUUAGUCUUGAACUAAACCCAGUCAAUACAAAUAGGUUUCAAUUUAAACUUAGGCAUUCAACAUAAAAUUAAGUUUCUACCUUAUCUAAAAUAAAUCUGCAAUGUUCAGUAAGCUUAUAUUUCAUCGUUGCUUUAAAUUUUCUUUUCUUAAAUCAUGGAAACCAAAGUCUUUGUCAUGGUAUGUUAAUCUAAAUAGUAUACAUUAUUUAGUUGAUACUUAGCAGUUCUAUGUGUAAUGUCUAACCCUUACAAUGAUCUAACCUAGUGGUUCUCAAUGGCCUUUUAUAAAUGACUUCACCUCAUAUUUUGCAGUAAAAAAAAGUCAGAUUAUUUUAGUCUAUAAGAUGCUAACUUUGUGCAGUAGAUUAGCAUCUAUAUUUUAUUUUACUAUUCCAUCCAGCAUAUAUCUUACCUAUGCAAAACAAGACAAAUUUUACUAUGUCUCUGCAGAUUGAAAAAUGAUGAACCUUAAUGUUCAAACCUUUCUGGAUUCUCAGAGGUGACUACAUCAAUUUGAUCUACUCUAGAGAAGCAAGCCACCAAUGUGUUUAUUUACUCAACAAAUCCAGUAGCUACAGAGAAUUGGUGUUACUCCCAACUAAAUUUUUAUGUAAUUACUAAAAAAGAUGAAGACUUAUAUGGGGAAACUUGAGGCAUUAUCAGUUAUAUUUCUAUCCGCUGAAAACAUAAUGUCCUACAUAUUCUAAGCUGACAAAUUAAACUACAAGUAUCAAACCUGUACCUUAAGUACAGCCUCUUUAAAUACUGUGUUCCCUUGACAAAUUAAACUACAAGUAUCGUACCUGCACCUUAAGUACAGCCUCUUUAAAUACUGUGUUCCCUUGACAAAUUAAACUACAAGUAUCGUACCUGCACCUUAAGGGCAGCCUCUUUAAAUACUGUGUUCCCUUGACAAAUUAAACUACAAGUAUCGUACCUGUACCUUAAGUACAGCCUCUUUAAAUACUCUGUGUUCCCAUGACACUUUUUACCCCAAAAGAGCACUGCUAUCCAAGUUAACCCUUUUCAUACCAACCAGACAGAGACUGCUUCUGAUUUUAUGAUAUAAAUUUUUUAUUUUGACUCAUUAGAUUUCAGAUUGUUUUGAAUUAAUUAUGCUUUAUCUCACGGCUUCAAGAUUUUGAUGAUGUGGAUGCUAUUUUUGGAAUGACUGGGUAGAGUAAGUGUAAGAGACCAGAUCUGGCCAGUUUGAACAUAAAACACAAAACAUUUGAGUAAUGAUAGUUAUUUCAUUAAAUUCAUUGUUUUCAAAAUAAAUUGAAACACAGGCUGUGUAUUCAGAAGAGAUAUAGUAAAGAAUGGGCUAAUCUGUCUUUUCAAUUAUCUGGUACCAAUAAGUUCAUCUUACUGUAUUAGGAUAAAAUGAAUGACUGUAAACUGAAGGGACUAAUCACCACUAGAUUGUGAGUUUAAACUAUAUUACAGCCAGCCAUCAUACUAUGACUUAUUUUUACUUGUCAGAAUCAAUCUAGCUAAAGUUAAAUAAAUGUUCUAUUUCAACAUUAUACCCAUUACUUAAAACAUUAGUUCAAACAAUUCAUUGGCAAACACUCAAUCCUGCAAAAAAAAAAAACCAAAAAAAAAAACAAGCUAAGAUUUCUAUUUUCCUUUCUGAACUAAUACCAAUGGGUUGAGAAUAAGAUAAUUAUUCCAGUAACUUAAUGAAAUAUCUCAAUGUCAAACAAACCUAAUCUAAUUUGAGUCAUGUUAAUAUCUUCAGUAGUUUAGUAGACAGAGUUCGUUUGUAUUCCCUUCAAAGUGACAAAACCAACAGAUAAUAAGAAUAACAAAGAAUGCUAAUCUUAAUCAAAUUAUCUGUCAUAAAGUUAUUCUUCAAUGGCCAUUUUAAUUGAUAGCUUUACAUGGUCAGUGUGUGUGUGUAUGUAUACAUGUUAUUUUUCACCAAAUCACCAUCAAAAUUGCUAUUUGUCAUCACCAUAAUCAUUAGCAUUAUCAUCAUAGUAACUACUCUUUCCAACUGAAGAUGAGGAUUUAAAACAUGUAUGUCUGUGUGUAUGUGUAACUCAUGCAAGGACUAAAUAUAUUUGACAGUUAUAUAAUUUAACAAAACCAAAAAAAAUUCCUCUCAAAAAAAAACCCUGUAGCUUUGGAAAUCUUGGGUAAAAUGAUAGAAUUGGAUAUAUUUGACUUAUGUACAUAUUUUAGUUGCAUAAAGAAUAUCAGUAAAAUAAACUGGGACCAAUAAAAGCACAGAGUAAAAUGAGAAUGUGAAAUUUUAAAUGUUAAUUUUGGCGUUUGCUAUUUUAAAGGAAUUUUAAGAAUAACAACAGAAUAUUUACUGAUGGGAAUGGUGACUCAAUACUAAAAGUAAAGUGAAGUUUAUAUAAAAUUAGUUUUCACUGGGACUUGUGUCUGAUGGAUUAUUCAACCAGAUGGAAAUUUUUUUCUAAUGUUUACAUAGAUAGAUAAUAGAAAGUUUUGUUAUAAGAAAAGAGUGUUAAGGUCAUAAUUACAAUUGCCUUUUCAUCUUUAAUUUGUUUCAGCCACUGGUUCGUGAUCAUACUGGGGCACGGCCUUGAAUGGUUUAAUCAAACAAACUAACUCCAGUACCUAUUUUAAAUCUGGUACUUAUUCUACUGGUCUUGUUUGCAGAACUGCCAACUUACAGGGAUGUAAACAAACCAAUAUCAGUUGUCAAGUGAUGAUGAGGGGACAAAUGCUAACACACAGAUACAUACAAUGGGCUUCGCCCCAGUUUCAUCAUUUUACGUCCGCACUCCAUGCUGUCAUGGGUUGGACGGUUUGACAGGAUCAAGUGAGCUGCAAGGUUGCAUCAAGCUCUAAUGUCAGCCUCUAUCCAACAAAUUCACUCACAAGGCAUUGCUCAGCCCAGGGCUGUAGUAGAAAUCACUGAGCCAUGGUGCUGUGCAGUGGGACUGAACCUGAAACUAUGCAAUUGCAAAAAAAGCUUCUUAACCAGAGAGUCAUGCCUGAAAAAUUCUAAAGGAAAAAGAAUGUAUUGUAUUAUUUAAGAGUAAAGUUCUGGUACCAGAACUUUUCUCUUACUUAUAGAAUUUUCCCCACAAUUGAAAUUUAUCAUCUUAACACCUUUUUCUUAUAACAAAGUUUUCCAUUUUCUCUCAAUAGAAACAUUAAAAAGUGAAAUUUUACUACUCAAGAGCCUGUAAAGUAAACCAACAAAGGAGCACAAAUAAUUCAUUGGCCAAAGAGGUAUUUUUUCUUCUCCCAAAUACCAGACAAAGUGCCUCAAAACAUAAAGAGGUAGUCAAGUGUAGUUUGAAUAGUAAGUUGAUGAUUGCAUGCUUUAAGCAUACUGCAUCUACUUCUAUUAUUUUUCGCUGUUAGCAAAUUUUUUUUUUAACUUAUUAAAAUAUACAUACAUCAUUGAAAGAGAAAACUGCUUGGAAGAUAAUAAAAAUAAAGGGUUGUCAAUUUUUUAAUAUAUAUAUAUAUAUAUACACAUAUAUAUA
rnacentral:lncRNA from 1 species